rfam:TPA: Bos taurus chromosome 12, whole genome shotgun sequence.
UCCCUGGUGGUCCAGUGGUUAAGACUCUGUGCUCCCAAUACAGGGGGCCCAGGUUCAAUCCCUGUUUAAGGGA